rnacentral:lncRNA from 1 species
CGGAUUUGCAUUAUUAUCUGGAACUUCAAUGUCUUGUCCCCAUGUAGCAGGGAUAGCAGCUCUCAUCAAAUCCAAACACCCAACAUGGUCACCUGCAGCCAUAAGAUCAGCUUUGGUAACAACAGGUGAAUCAGCCAUAAUAAGAAUUAAUCACAUAUACUUCAAAAUGGUUGUCGUACCAGUAUACCAGUAUAGGCUACAUAUCAUAUCGGAUACUUGUCGUUUAUAUGUCAUUCAUUUGUUCUAUGAUUUUUUGUUCCACAUGAACGUUUUUCAUAUUUUGCCCUGUUGUGUUUGUAUUCAGUACCCAUACUUCCUAGAUUAAAUUACUUCUUUACAGUGUAGUAUACAUUCAAAGUAACUAGUUCGUCAUUGAAAAUGCAGCCUCUCAAACUGGCACUGAUGGAAGUGUUAUAUCUGAAGAGGGUUCAACAUAUAAGGCUGCAGACCCUUUUGACAUAGGAGGUGGACAUGUGAACCCUAACAAAGCAAUGGAUCCAGGGCUCAUAUAUAACAUAACCACUGAUGAUUAUAUCCAUUUCCUAUGUUCCAUUGGUUAUGGUAGUGCAUCCAUCAGCAAAAUGACCAAAACCAACACAAAAUGUAAGAAAGAGAAACACCAAGGACUGAACCUUAAUCUUCCUUCCAUAUCAAUUCCAUACCUAAAAAAGGGUGCAAAAGUAAUGAGAACCGUGACAAAUGUUGGAAACAUAACUUCUGUCUACAAAGCUCAAGUGAAGGCUCCAGAUGGCAUAAAAGUGAGAGUUGAACCUCAAAUUUUGAGUUUCAAUUCUUCCUCGACAGUCCUUUCCUUCAAUGUCAGUUUCUUGUCAACUCUAAAGCUUCAUGGAGGUUACAGAUUUGGUAGCCUAACUUGGACCAAUGGCAAGCAUUUUGUGAGGGUCCCAAUAGCUGUGAGGACCAUACAAUUUGAAUCUUAAGGAUUCAUAAGAGUUUAUGGAAAAUGAGUUUUAUCAACUAACACGGCAUUAAAUUCUAUGACGAAAGAUUACCAGUUUAUGCAUGGAAUAUACUACAGAUUGUAAGUUUAAAACGGAUCCUGAGUUUGCAACUGACAAAUUAUUUGAAUUAAAUAAAAUGAUUGGUUGACACUGAUGAACAGAAUACUGUGAUGAGCAAAUGUCAGUAUUAGAAACAAAAAACACUGCUAAUCUAAUGGUGAAUUUUAAGUUACUGUUGUUAAGGAAGAUGGUAUUUGUAUGAUUUGUAUUUUAUCUAAAACAACACAAAAUAUCAAACUUGAGUCUUUAUUGAAGCAGUCUUUAUUGGAAUUAAUUUUUAUUGAAAUAAACAGACUAUAAAAUUCUCCCACCUAUCUCAACACCUUCAAUGUUCAAACACAACAAUAUAAAACUAAUAACUCAAAAGUAAAAAUUGUAAUAUACAUAUUGUUGUAAAAGCACUUAAUUAGAUUGGUGGAAGGAGCACCUGUGGAGAUCGUUAAUGGCACUAAUUUGGGAAAACCUAAGGUUGUUGGGGGUGAUGACUCAAUGUCUUUCCAAUCAGAAGAUGGUGACUGGUGGCUGGACGGCGUCUCUGGUAGAGGAGAAGAGUCCUUCUCGGUUGAUGAGGGUGAGGACGUGGCAAGGUCUCAGGCGCCUCUGAACUUUGCUCAGUCUUGAGGGCAUUGGGGUUCGGGAAAAGGUGACGAGGGGAGCAGGUGGAAUAGGCCAAAACAACUCUUCUGCAAAAGGGGUUUUGGCCGAUUCAGAGAAAUUUGGCAAGAUUGACAAAAAAUGGCAUCCUUUUCCUCUGGGAAUGGGAAAGGUAAGAGCAGACCAAGUUUGAAAGGGGAGGAAGGUGUGAGUACAAGGGUUAAUAUCUGA